rnacentral:pre_miRNA from 1 species
GUGCCCGAAACUUUGACUCAACCUGUGUACGUUUAACAGGUGAGCAAAGUUUCAGGUGUGU